rnacentral:misc_RNA from 1 species
UCUCCGUAGGUGAACCUGCGGAGGGAUCAUUACAGAGUCCAUGCCCUACCGGGUAGAUCUCCCACCCUAUGUUAUUAUUACUUUGUUGCUUUGGCGGGCCGUUAGGCUCCGGCCCGACUACCGGCCCCGGCUGGUAAGCGCCCGCCAGAGGACCCAAAACCCUGAAUAUCAGUGUCGUCUGAGUACUAUAUAAUAGUUAAAACUUUCAACAACGGAUCUCUUGGUUCUG